rfam:Triticum aestivum genome assembly, contig: Triticum_aestivum_CS42_TGACv1_scaffold_197641_3AL
AACAUAUUACCUCCGUCCUAAAUUAGUUGUAUUAGAUUUAUCUAGAUACAGAUGUAUCUAACACUAUAUACAUCCGUCUUUAGACAAAUUUAAGACAACUAAUAUGGGAUAGAGGGAAUAUAUU